ACACACAAAAAAGAAUAGAAUAGUGACGACCUUUCAUCACUUCCUCUUCAUUUGCGUCCUCUGGCGUCUGUUACUCUUCAUUCUCCCCACAAACCUUAACUUUUACUCUUCUUAUUCACUCCAUUCACACAUACCACAACCAGUCCACUACCAGUACUGCUGAACCCAUUAUUGUUGAAAGUAGAAUGCAUCGUCUAAACCCACAAAUUUGAAGACUACAAUUGAAAAGAUGUCAAGAAUGCUUAUCCUAAAACCGCCAUUAAUCCUGACAAGAGCGGGAUUUGAAAACCUUUGGGUUAACCCUUGUGUUUCUUUUCUAUCUUUCAAAUCUAUUGUUCUGUUGCUUCAAGUUUGUUUGAUUUUCUUACUUCCUCUUGUCCAUGAUACACUUGCUUUCUCUCUGGAUGUUUAUUCUGAGAAAAAUAAAAUUAACAUGAUAUGAUUUUUUAAAUGCCCAUGAAGUGUUUGAGAAAAUGCCCUAUAUAGAAACAUUGCCCUUGACUUUAGAAAAUGGCUUCAACAUUGUUGCACAUAUUGGUUCUGAUGUAUUGUAGCCAUUAAAUUUUGUUAUAUAUGAAGAUUUUUUAUGCAAAAGUGCUUAGAAAUGAAGCAAUUUUUUGUUUUUUUGGUAAUAACUGUGAAAUAUUACCAUUGCAACAAGAACCAAUUACAGUUCUUGUUGGUUGAUGAAAAUAAAAUGAAGGAAAACAUCUAAAAGGGAGAAAAGAACACAUGACAGUUCAUAGAAUUAUAUAGAAUGCCCUCAAAGGAAAAACAAGAGAGCCUCAUGCUUUGAAGGCCUAUGCAGUGCAUUGACAUGACAUAAACAGGUGUUAGCCUUAUUUUGUCUACUUCAAAAAAGACAAUUAUUUUAGUUAUCAAUCGCUCACUCAAAAUUUAUCUCUAUUUCAUAUUUACAAAGGAAGAUUAGAGAAUGGAGCUUAUAUUACUGUUUGGUCAUUAAAUUUGUACAGAAGAUAGCCUUCUGGGUCACUACAUUGAUGGUGGAGCACUAGAUGAUUCAACUGUCCCCAGAUUAUCCUCAUUUAUGAAUAUAUGGAAUUUUUUGUGCUUAUCUAUCAGGUUUUAAUAUUUGCUCUACCAAGUCUUGGUUCUCUCCUUCAACAACAAUAUGGAAAGCUAAUUUCACCCAAAUGUGCUUUGUUCUUCAACUGGUCUUUUGAAAUUAGUAUAUUUAUUCUAGUGAAGCACUUCACCUAUUGGUAGGAGUAAGGUCUGCGUACACUCUAUCCUCCCCAUAUCCUACGUUGUGGGAUUUCACUGGGUUGUUGUUGUUGUUUGCCAUAGAGAUAUGGGAGUGUAGAAUGAGGAUCUACAAAGAUCACUCUUGCAACUUCUAAUGCUUCCUUUAUACUUGAGGCUGAUGGAGAUGGAGAUGGAAGUUAAAUUACAGAGAAUUUGUCUCUAGCUGUAUCUGUUCAUCUUAUAAAGAUGGCAAAUGAUGAGCUCACGUUUUCACUUUCUGAAAAAAAUCACAGUGGCUACAUAGAGAUUGAGGAGCUGUGCAGUACCUGCCUUGAGUGAUGAGGAUGGUGGCAACAUUGAGGAAGUCAUCAAUGCCAUUAUGCGUGACGUUGACACUGAUAUAAGGUCAGUAUUUGCAUAUAUCUACCGGAUUUCAUACUUAGUGCAUAUACUUCUCUUUCAAAUGUAUUUUUGAUUGCCUUUGGAGCUAUACAAUUUAGUUGACAAAGGUAUUUUUACAUCUUCAAUUUUACAAAUGUCUCUUUGAUUGAUCUGUUCAGAUCAACAUGUAGCCAAAAGUCUAGCUAUCCGCCUGUGGUUAGAAUCUCUUUCUCUCAUUAGAAGAUCCGUCUUUUCUUGUUUUCCCCUAAACUCGAAACGAGCAAUAAAUGCUUUCGGACAAUGGAACUGGAGUUGUAACAAUGUGCCCCAGUUAAACAAACAAAAACAGCAUAUAGACGAAUGUAACUGCCUGUCUUCUUGAUCUUCUUCUUUUAAUCUCAACUGAUUGCUAUGGUCACAUUUCUUCUUCCUGUAGUUUACGGCACGAGAAUGAAAAUGGGCAUAGUGUUUGCAGCAAAUCAUCUUGUAAGCUCUGCCAAAUGAUUCAUUUCUCUUUCUUAAAAGGUAUUGCUUUUAUUUUUCUAACAAAGUAUUGUAGUAACUGUUUAAUGCUAAAAUACUGACUAUCAUAGCUUUCUUGGUCUAUUGGGUUUUCUAAUUUGAAUUUUGUGUUUAUUCCGAAAAGUCGUUGGUUCAUCUACUGAAGAGAAGUACAUCGACUACAUUCAAAAAAUGUCUUUUACAAAAGUAGCAAACAAGAACGACCUUCAAAAAGGUGUAGUUUCUCGAAAUGGAGUCUCUCUGUUUGUCUUGGUAGUAUUUCUGCUGAAAUGCUCUUUACCACCACAUAAAGUUAUUGACUUUGAAGAAACAGUACAUUCAGGUGUUAUUCCCUUUGUGAAUUUGACAUUUUUUUGUAUCUUCACUUUAGCAGUCUAUUUUGGAUUAGACCAAGUUGAAAGUUGCAUUGUUACAUUUUAUUUCACACGACAGAAUCAAAAUUGAACAUUAUCAUUAUGAGUGACAAAGAAUCACUAUUAUCAAUGGUUCUUACCAUUAUCCGCUAAAUUGAAAUCUAUGCAAUAGAAGUAAAAGCUCGCUUGAUGUAAUAUGUGGUGCUAAGGCGUCUUAUUAUGAUCGGGGGCCUAAAGGAUCCCACUACCGAGCCGGUCUGGACAAGAUGCAGGGUAAGACUCUUUUUUGAUAUUAAACUGUGAAUCGAAAAGUUACUUUAUUUUCUUCCGAAUAUUAUGCUUGGUUAGGUGGAAUACCUUCCUUGUCCUGAAUCUUGGCCUUGACGUUGUCAAUGGUAUCGUAUCGCUCCAUUCAACUUCAAGGGUUAUUGGUCUUCCCCGUUGGAGUUUUCGGGGUGAUCUGCAUAUCUUAGAGACUCCUACAUCUUAUCUCUCUAAUGUGACCCUUCUGCUAUAGGUUCGGCUUAUGUGAUUGUGGUAAGUAUUUGGUCUCUCCUUUCUUGUCUUAAAUCUUAAUUAUAGAAGCGCCAAAAAUUGUGUACUCUCUGCAUCACAUAUAACUUUUCAUAUCAUAAGUAAUGGUGUCUUAAAUUUGAACUCCCUCCAUUUCAAUUUCUUUAUCUUUACUUUUUAGUUCAUUUAAAAAAAUUACUACUACCUUUUUUUUUUUACAGUUCUUCAAUUCUAACUUUCUACAUCACAUUUAACACCACAAGAGUAAAUGCACCUCUCUUAGGCCAUUAUCUUUUCCUAAUUUUUUUAAAUUUUCCCCUUACUCUUGGUCUAAAAUAUCCAGAAAAUUAAAGAUACCUAAUUUAUCUCUCUUCUAACUAUUACUGUAAUUAUUUACUAUUAGUAUUGUUGUAAGCUAGUGAUGGAAACCCUACAAGUUAGAAAAUCAAAUAUAUCUACUGUUGAAAUGUACUAAUGGUGGAAGCAACUAAGAGGUUUGAUUUGUGAGGCAGUGGGUACAAUGGAUAGUGGCAGUCACAGAGAAAUCAAGUAGUCCUUUUUAUUCAAAACAGUGCGUCUCGUUACCCACUAUAUACACUGAAUAUUUAAGCACAAAAUACUCUUGUCAUACCAUGGAAGAAGUAAAAUACAGAAGAAAACUCAAAGUAGAAUGUCAAUGAAUAGACUAAUUCUCUUCUUAAAAUAUGAGUACUUAUCAUACUAUUAUUUCAGAUGCUUUUAACAUUCACUUGGGUCCAACCAAUUGAGAGGAUUGUAAAUUGAUAACUAUGGACAGGUUGAUGAAUCUAUGGUAAUAGCAGAGACUCCAACUCUUCCUCCUCUUACCUUCGGUACUUCUUUUUAUGGAAGGACACACAUUGAAUGUAUUUUGGUGUCUAUAGCAUAUUUGAUAUUUCAUGUUCAAAAGUUUAACUUAUAGUACAAGACAACAGGCAAUUAAAUUUGAUUGCCUUGGCUACAACCUUUUAGUACGUCUCACA